rnacentral:rRNA from 1 species
UGGGGAAUAUUGCACAAUGGAGGGAACUCUGAUGCAGCGACGCCGCGUGAACGAAGAAGGCUUUCGAGUCGUAAAGUUCUUUUAUAUGGGAAGAUAAUGACGGUACCAUAAGAAAAAGCCCCGGCUAACUACGUGCCAGCAGCCGCGGUAAUACGUAGGGGGCUAGCGUUGUCCGGAAUCACUGGGCGUAAAGGGUUCGCAGGCGGAAAUGCAAGUCAGGUGUAAAAGGCAGUAGCUUAACUACUGUAAGCAUUUGAAACUGCAUAUCUUGAGAAGAGUAGAGGUAAAUGGAAUUUUUAGUGUAGCGGUGAAAUGCGUAGAUAUUAAAAAGAAUACCGGUGGCGAAGGCGACUUACUGGGCUCAUUCUGACGCUGAGGAACGAAAGCGUGGGUAGCAAACAGG